GGGGGUGUAGCUCAGUGGUAGAGCACCUGCCUUUUAAGCAGGGUGUCGAGAGUUCGAUCCUCUCCGCCCCUACCA
rnacentral:tRNA from 1 species